rnacentral:rRNA from 1 species
AUGAACGCUAGCGGCAGGCUUAACACAUGCAAGUCGAGGGGCAACAUAAUGGUAGUAAUACUAUUGAUGGCGACCGGCGGACGGGUGCGUAACGCGUAUGCAACCUACCCUUUACAGGGGGAUAACACUGAGAAAUCGGUACUAAUACCCCAUAAUAUUCUGGGAGGCAUCUUUCGGAGUUGAAAGCUUUGGUGGUAAAGGAUGGGCAUGCGUUGUAUUAGCUAGUUGGUAAGGUAACGGCUUACCAAGGCGACGAUACAUAGGGGGACUGAGAGGUUAACCCCCCACAUUGGUACUGAGACACGGACCAAACUCCUACGGGAGGCAGCAGUGAGGAAUAUUGGUCAAUGGACGGAAGUCUGAACCAGCCAUGCCGCGUGCAGGAAGACGGCUCUAUGAGUUGUAAACUGCUUUUGUACGAGGGUAAACGCAGAUACGUGUAUCUGCCUGAAAGUAUCGUACGAAUAAGGAUCGGCUAACUCCGUGCCAGCAGCCGCGGUAAUACGGAGGAUCCAAGCGUUAUCCGGAUUUAUUGGGUUUAAAGGGUGCGUAGGCGGUUUAGUAAGUCAGCGGUGAAAUUUUGGUGCUUAACACCAAACGUGCCGUUGAUACUGCUGGGCUAGAGAGUAGUUGCGGUAGGCGGAAUGUAUGGUGUAGCGGUGAAAUGCUUAGAGAUCAUACAGAACACCGAUUGCGAAGGCAGCUUACCAAACUAUAUCUGACGUUGAGGCACGAAAGCGUGGGGAGCAAACAGGAUUAGAUACCCUGGUAGUCCACGCAGUAAACGAUGAUAGCUCGUUGUCGGCGAUACACAGUCGGUGACUAAGAGAAAUCGAUAAGCUAUCCACCUGGGGAGUACGUUCGCAAGAAUGAAACUCAAAGGAAUUGACGGGGGCCCGCACAAGCAGUGGAGUAUGUGGUUUAAUUCGACGCAACGCGAAGAACCUUACCAGGUCUUGACAUCCACUUAAACUUACAGAGAUGUAAGGUGUGCUUGCACAAAGUGAGACAGGUGGUGCAUGGUUGUCGUCAGCUCGUGCCGUGAGGUGUCGGGUUAAGUCCCAUAACGAGCGCAACCCCUACUGAUAGUUGCCAUCAGAGCGUUUGAGCGAUCAAACAAGCUGGGCACUCUAUCGGGACUGCCGGUGUAAGCCGAGAGGAAGGUGGGGAUGACGUCAAAUCAGCACGGCCCUUACGUCCGGGGCGACACACGUGUUACAAUGGUAGGUACAGAGGGCAGCCACCCAGUGAUGGGGAGCGAAUCUCGAAAGCCUAUCUCAGUUCGGAUUGGAGGCUGAAACUCGCCUCCAUGAAGUUGGAUUCGCUAGUAAUCGCGCAUCAGCCAUGGCGCGGUGAAUACGUUCCCGGGCCUUGUACACACCGCCCGUCAAGCCAUGGGAGUUGGGGGUGCCUGAAGUUCGUGACCGAAAGGAGCGACCUAGGGCAAAACCGAUGACUGGGGCU